AUUGAACGCUGGCGGCAUGCCUUACACAUGCAAGUCGAACGGCAGCACGGGAGCAAUCCUGGUGGCGAGUGGCGAACGGGUGAGUAAUAUAUCGGAACGUGCCCGGUCGUGGGGGAUAACGUAGCGAAAGCUACGCUAAUACCGCAUACGAUCUACGGAUGAAAGCGGGGGAUCGCAAGACCUCGCGCGAUUGGAGCGGCCGAUAUCAGAUUAGGUAGUUGGUGAGGUAAAGGCUCACCAAGCCGACGAUCUGUAGCUGGUCUGAGAGGACGACCAGCCACACUGGGACUGAGACACGGCCCAGACUCCUACGGGAGGCAGCAGUGGGGAAUUUUGGACAAUGGGCGCAAGCCUGAUCCAGCAAUGCCGCGUGCAGGAUGAAGGCCUCGGUUGUAACUAGCUUUGUACGGUAACGAAACGGUAGAGCUCUAAUACAGUUUGCUAAUGACGGUA
rnacentral:rRNA from 1 species